rnacentral:rRNA from 1 species
ACGUAGGGACCAAGCGUUGUUCGGAUUUACUGGGCGUAAAGGGCGCGUAGGCGGCAAUUCAAGUCAGCUGUGAAAUCUCUGGGCUUAACUCGGGACGGUCAGCUGAUACUGCUUUGCUAGAGUGCAGAAGGGGCAAUCGGAAUUCUUGGUGUAGCGGUGAAAUGCGUAGAUAUCGAGAGGAACACCUGCGGCGAAGGCGGGUUGCUGGGCUGAUACUGACGCUGAGGCGCGAAAGCUAGGGGAGCGAACGGGA